GCUCUCUUAGCACAGUGGCAGUGCGUCUGCCUCGUAAGCAGAAGGUCGGGUGUUCAAUCCACCCAGGGAGCA
rnacentral:tRNA from 1 species